CCUACGGGCGGCAGCAGUGGGGAAUAUUGCACAAUGGCCGGAACCCUGAUGCAGCAACGCCGCGUGGGUGAAGAAGUACUCCGGUAUGUAAAGCCCUGUCAGCAGGGAAGAAAAUGACGGUACCUGACCAGGAAGCCCCGGCUAACUACGUGCCAGCAGCCGCGGGAAUACGUAGGGGGCACGCGUUAUCCGGAUUUACUGGGUGUAAAGGGGGCGUAGACGGCAAGGCAAGUGUGGAGUGAAAGCCCGUGGCCCAACCACGGGACUGCUUUUGAAACUGUGGUGCUGGAGUGCAGGAGGGGUAAGCGGAAUUCGUAGUGUAGCGGUGAAAUGCGUAGAUAUUAGGAAGAACACCGGUGGCGAAGGCGGCUUACUGGACUGUAACUGACGUUGAGGCUCGAAGGCGUGGGGAGCAAACAGGAUUAGAUACCCUUGUAGUC
rnacentral:rRNA from 1 species